AAAACUUUCAACAACGGAUCUCUUGGUUCCGGCAUCGAUGAAAAACGCAGCGAAAUGCGAUAAAUAAUGCGAAUUGCAAAAUUCAGUGAGUCAUCAAGUUUUUGAACGCACAUUGCGCCCCCUGGAAUUCCAAAGGGCAUACCUGUUCAAGCGUCAUU
rnacentral:rRNA from 1 species